UGCAAUGCUAAUUUUAUCGUUGCUAAGUAACAGUGAAAGAAAACAGAAUCCUACUGGAAUUUUAAAGAUGUUGCCAAAUUUUUUUUGUAUCUCAACAUAUUUAUUCCUUUACAUAUCGCUUUUAGCCAAAUUUCCUCUCUAUGAAGUCAGUUCGCAAAAACUUGUCGGAGAAAUAGUUCAGAGUGAGGAAGAAUACUCAACAACUACACAACAUUCUGAAUCGGUAUCAAGAUUCAAUGAUCUGGUUGAUGCAUUGCAUCUGGUACAAAUAAACUCUCAUCCACAUCUGAUAACAGGUUAUUUGACGAUAAUCCAGCACAUGAUUCAAGGUAUUCAUCGGCAAUAUUCCACGCCAACCAUCCAAACAAUCGUAUAAGAUUCCAUGACACCAGGAAACAGCACUCCACCACAUCUUCGUCAGCUUUGAAAAAGUUCGUGCAGAGAUUGAAUACGUUUUUCAUGGGACCUGUGAAUGAUACAGUAAUCGAUGUUGCAGAGGUAGAUAUUACUAGUACGUUUCAACCACGUUCCUACGAUGUAUCAUCAACCGCAGCCGAUCAUUCAUUCAAGAACAGAAGCUACUUUGUUGUCACACAGCGAAAUGCAAAACCUCGCGCCAUGAAAGAAAGCGGAGGGAAAAAUUUUAAAGGAGAUUAUUGAGGAGGAAGGAUUUGCGGUCGUGUAAGACCGUGACAGUCAAAAAAAUAGCAGCAUCGUUGUUUUGUCUGAGAUUGAGCACUCAAACUCUCACACCAAGAAGCUUAGAACACGACCACGGUCUUCCUUAUCUGCUUUGCCACUGAAGAGGAGCGAGCAUCAAUCCCGACCGCCUUUCAACUCACAAGUGUUCUCUGUUCUUACUCACCCUUCCCUCCCCCUCCAGUCAUUAUCUUCCUCUUCCUUGUUUUGGAGGAAAUGUAAUGGCAUUGACAAGUCAACGGAUGAUGGCGGCAAUCGGACAAUGGGGAAUCAAAGCACAUCGGUGAUCGAGGGGUCGAGCGGUCGGUAGUUCGGGGAUGAGUAGAAAGUGAGCUUUCCUUCUUCCUCGUGCGAUUAUAAGCACUUCCAUAAUGAAGCGCUAAAAAUAGAUGUUCUUCAACACGAGUGGAAUUUUCCUCGACGAAGCAGCAGUUUACUAGCAAGUUGACUUAAUCUUAAUACAAUAACGAAUAAAACAUUGUUGAUAAGAGAC